rnacentral:rRNA from 1 species
AGUAGUCACGUAGUUCGAUCCUGGCUACGAGAACGAACGCUGGCGGCAUGCCUAACACAUGCAAGUCGAACGAGACCUUCGGGUCUAGUGGCGCACGGGUGCGUAACACGUGGGAAUUUGCCUCGGGGUAUGGAAUAACUCAGGGAAACUUGAGCUAAUACCAUAUAAUGUCUUCGGACCAAAGAUUUAUCGCCCUGAGAUAAGCCCGCGUAGGAUUAGCUAGUUGGUGAGGUAAAGGCUCACCAAGGCGACGAUCCUUAGCUGGUCUGAGAGGAUGAUCAGCCACACUGGGACUGAGACACGGCCCAGACUCCUACGGGAGGCAGCAGUGGGGAAUAUUGGACAAUGGGCGAAAGCCUGAUCCAGCAAUGCCGCGUGAGUGAUGAAGGCCUUAGGGUUGUAAAGCUCUUUUACCCGAGAUGAUAAUGACAGUAUCGGGAGAAUAAGCUCCGGCUAACUCCGUG